UAGACACCGGGUAAUCGGUGCUGGGCUCUCUAGCUCGGGACUCCAGCAUCUCAGUUAUGGCCUCAGAAAAGCCUCAGGACCUAAUGGUCACCUGCACGGCGCCGGUCAACAUCGCAGUUAUCAAGUACUGGGGGAAGCGAGAUGAAGCGCUGAUCCUGCCCAUCAACUCCUCCCUGAGCGUCACGCUGCACCAGGACCAGACCCAAAGCCACGGGGUUGGUUUUACGUCCGAUUCCUUUACUCAAGAGGGACCAGGUGUCCAUGGUUCUGUGGUGAGACAGUGCUCACCCUGACACAGCGCAGCUAAAAACGACCACAACCGUUGCCAUUAGCAAGGACUUCACAGAGGACCGCAUCUGGCUGAAUGGUCGCGAGGAGGACGUGGGGCAGCCACGGCUCCAGGCCUGCCUGAGAGAGAUUCGCCGCCUGGCUCGGAAGCGGAGGAGCACAGAGGACGGGGACACUCUACCCCUCAGCCUCAGCUAUAAGGUGCACGUGGCGUCAGUGAACAACUUCCCCACUGCUGCAGGCCUGGCGUCCUCAGCCGCAGGCUAUGCCUGCCUAGCCUAUACCCUGGCUCAGGUCUAUGGGGUUGAGGGAGACCUCUCCGAAGUGGCUCGGCGGGGCUCAGGCAGUGCGUGCCGCAGUCUCUAUGGGGGCUUUGUGGAGUGGCAGAUGGGGGAACAGGCCGAUGGGAAGGACAGCAUCGCCCGGCAGAUAGCCCCAGAGUGGCACUGGCCCCAGCUCCGAAUCCUUAUCCUUGUGGUGAGCGCCGACAAGAAGCAGACGGGCAGUACAGUGGGCAUGCAGACCAGCGUGGAGACCAGCACCCUGCUCAAGUUCCGGGCUGAGUCUGUUGUGCCUGAGCGCAUGAAGGAGAUGACCCGCUGCAUCCAAGAGCAGGACUUUCAGGGCUUUGCCCAGCUGACCAUGAAGGAUAGCAACCAGUUUCAUGCCACCUGCCUGGACACCUUCCCACCGAUCUCCUACCUCAAUGACACCUCCAGGCGCAUCAUCCAGCUAGUCCACCGCUUCAACACCCACCAGGGGCAGACGAAGGUGGCAUACACAUUUGAUGCUGGCCCCAACGCUGUGAUCUUCACUCUGGAGGACACUGUGGCUGAGUUUGUGGCAGCUGUAAGACACAGCUUUCCCCCUGCAGCCAAUGGAGACAAGUUCCUAAAGGGGCUGCAGGUGGCACCUGUUCUUCUCUCUGAUGAGCUGAAGGCCGCGCUGGCGGUGGAGCCCAGCCCUGGUGGGGUCCAGUACAUCAUUGCCACUCAGGUCGGACCAGGACCUCAAGUCCUAGACGACACUCAUGAUCAUCUGCUAGGCCAGGAUGGACUGCCACAACGGGACCUUUGACCUCUUCCACGUCCAGUGCCAUUUGGAGAAAGGGGUUGCCCACUGGAACUCGGGAGCUGGCCUGCUGGUCAGCCUCUCCUGAAGGGCUGCUUGAUGAUCGAUUAUACUGGGGGAUGUCGAGUGUGAUGGGCAGCCAUCUAGGCGAUCACGGGAACCCCUCUCAAGUGCCUCCGGUUCCCCGCUGGUUUCUGAAGGGCUAGCUGACCCACUCGAUGGACCUUCCAGCACUCCAGACAGCUGCUCAUCAGGGAUGGGGAGUCGGUGCCUCCCCCCUCCCCCAAGAUGCUCUGAGGGCCUCAGUAACCAUCUAAGCGUGAUGGCUCAGACAGCGGUGCCUCUCUGCUGAGACUCAGGCCACAGUUUCUUUAUAAAGCCUCCUGGUGAGGGUAGGGGCUGUCGAGCCCACAGGUAGGGUCCAUUGUGUGUGUGGGUGCCUCAUGAGGGUGCAGUCAGUGGACCUGAGGACCACAGGAAUAAAGUGUGCUGUUCCUGCCUGCCC